CUUGGUCCAGGAGAGUGGUUGGUGGCUCGGGCUGUGCACUCAGACAGGCUUUUAAACUCUUCUGGAUCGAUGCUGGGCUACGUGAUCCCACUCAGCUGGAGAGCUUCUGGGAUGAAUGGGCCAAUUCCAGAGCCACUGCAGAUAGUCUGCAAGACUGAAAAGCCAAUUAUAGGAUCAUCUCAUCACUGCCUCCCACUUCCAGCUACUGCUGGUGAGCCCAUUGACCUGAAGGUUUUCACUAGCUUUGUGUGGAGGCAGUUCAAUGGGAAGUGAAUUGUCUUCCAAAAAAUGGUGUUGGGACAACUGGAUAUUUAUAUGCAAAAAUGAACUUCAAUCCCUACCCUAUUUCAUAUACAAAAAUUAAAGUGAAAUAGGUCAUAUGCCUACAUGUAAGAUCUGUCAAUGGAAAGUUUAUAGAAGAAAAUAUUUUUUAACCUUAGGUUAGGCAAAGAUUUGUUAGAUAAGACAUAAAAACAAUGAAUCAUGGGAAAACAUGAUUGAUAAAUUGGAGAAAAAGAGACAGUCUAUUAAAGUAUUGGCAAAAUAUUUGAACAGACAUUUCAUCAAAGAAUAGGAAUGAAUGGCAAACAGGCACAUGAAAAGUUGCUUGACAUCAUAGGGAGAUGCAAAUUAAAGUCACAAUAGAUACCACUUCACAUUCACUAGAAUGGCUAAAAUUAAAGUCUGACAGUAAGAAGUGUUGACAAGGAUGGGAAAGCAAAAUGCUUUAGAAAACAUGUUGGCAGUUCUUACAAAUGUUCUUACAAAUGUCAGCAACCCUCACCAGAGGGCCAAGCUAUUUCAUUCCUAGCUGUUUUCCCCCCAGAGGUAAAAUAUGUUCACACAAAGACUUGUGCUUGAAUGUGUGUAGCAGCUUUGUUUGUAUCAGCGGCAAGUUGGAAAUAAUGCAAAUGUCCAUGCAUAAGGACAUUGUGGUGUAUUUGCACAGUGGAGUACUGGACCAUGGGCAAAAGGCUGAACAACAGAUACACACUACAAACAUGAAUGGACUUCAGAGGCAGUAUUGAAAAUGAAGUAAGCCAGAGACAAGAGUCCUCACAGGAAAUUCUCGAAAAGGCAAGAAUUAUGUUGACAGAAAGCAGAUGAGUGUGGUUGCGAGGGUCUGGGGUUGGGGUGGGGGUUGACUGCAGACGGGCAUGAGCGAUCUUUUUGGGGUUAUGAACAUCUUCUCGUCAUGAUUUCUGCUGGUGGUGAUAUGACUGUACACAUUUGUCAAAUAUCAGAUUGUCAGAGAAAGAUAGUUAUUGUAUGAUCUCACUAACUUGUGGAAUUUAAGAAACAAAACAGAGGAUCAAAGGGGGAGAGAGGAAAAAAUAAAACAAGAUGAAACCAGAGAGGGAGAUAAACCGUAAGAGACUGUUAAUCAUAGGAGACAGGCUGAGGGUUGCUGGAGGGGAGUUGGGGGGGGACGGGGUAACUGGGUGAUGGACAUCA